rnacentral:tRNA from 1 species
GGGAAAGUGGCUCAGUGGUAGAGCGCUUGCCUUGCAUGCAGUUAGGCCCUGGGUUCGAUUCCUCAGCACCA